rnacentral:rRNA from 1 species
GUGCCAGCAGCCGCGGUAAUACGGAGGAUGCGAGCGUUAUCCGGAUUUAUUGGGUUUAAAGGGUGCGUAGGCGGAUUGAUAAGUCAGUGGUGAAAUUCUACAGCUUAACUGUAGACUUGCCGUUGAUACUGUUAGUCUUGAGUGUGGUCAAGGCAGGCGGAAUGUGUAAUGUAGCGGUGAAAUGCUUAGAUAUUACACAGAACACCGAUUGCGAAGGCAGCUUGCUGGGUCAUUACUGACGCUGAUGCACGAAAGCGUGGGGAUCAAACAGGAUUAGAUACCCUGGUAGUCCACGCCGUAAACUAUGAUCACUCGCUGUUGGCGAUACACAGUCAGCGGCUAAGCAAAAGCAUUAAGUGAUCCACCUGGGGAGUACGGCCGCAAGGCUGAAACUCAAAGAAAUUGACGG